CCACUCCCACUCCCACUCCCACAUCUCCUCUCGUUCUUCAAUAAUUUCUUCACCGCUUGCAACCAUUGCACCGUCUUUGACACACGGUCUCCUCCAUCACCACCAUCCUCCUCCUCUAGACAAAUUGCAUAAGUAGACGGCCUUUCCGUUGCUCUCGUCCACCAUAACCUCCAUCACACUUCUCCAAGCAAUCAUAGAAGUAGACGUCCCUUUCCACGGUUUUCCUCGACCACCAUCUCCAUCACACUCCCCAAACAACCAAAGAAGCAGAAGGCCAUCUCCAUCGCUCUUUUCUUCCACACCACCACCACCAGAUCCAUAACAACACCUUUCUUUGCCACUCUUUUCCACCAUCAAUUCUAUCAUACACCUCCAACUCUUUGCAAUGAGAUUGUUGGAGAAUAGACAGUUGUAGCGCCUUCACCACCAAAGACGUCUUCUUUCUUCUCUUCCAUCACCAUAAAUCUAGCAUUGUACUCAUGUUAGGUUGUUGUUGUGGACCAUCACGUACGCGCCAUUGUGGACCACAGUAGAUGCGUUAUCCUCUUUUUUGCAGCCCAAGUUGGGUGGCCAUUCAAUUGUUGUUCAUGCCGAGGGUGGAUUUAGGGAUACCGAAUUGGCCCAAGCCCAUAUAAAAUUUUCAAGGUAAUUUUCUAAAUAAAAAAAUUGUGUAAUUUUUUUUAUAUAUUAGCCUGUUUAAAAAAUUAGUUCGAUUCUAGAUAUUUCCCUAGUAGGAACUCAACUUUCUGGUGGCCACUAAGCUGUCGUAAUCAACGGUAGAAGUGGAAGCAAGAG
rnacentral:lncRNA from 1 species